GUGGGGAAUAUUGGACAAUGGGCGCAAGCCUGAUCCAGCCAUGCCGCGUGUGUGAAGAAGGCCUUCGGGUUGUAAAGCACUUUUGUCCGGGAAGAAAUCUUCCAGGUUAAUACCCUGGGAGGCUGACGGUACCGGAAGAAUAAGCACCGGCUAACUUCGUGCCAGCAGCCGCGGUAAUACGAAGGGUGCAAGCGUUACUCGGAAUUACUGGGCGUAAAGCGUGCGUAGGUGGUUCGUUAAGUCUGCCGUGAAAGCCCCGGGCUCAACCUGGGAAUGGCGGUGGAUACUGGCGGGCUAGAGUGCGGUAGAGGGUGGUGGAAUUCCCGGUGUAGCAGUGAAAUGCGUAGAGAUCGGGAGGAACAUCUGUGGCGAAGGCGGCCACCUGGACCAGCACUGACACUGAGGCACGAAAGCGUGGGGAGCAAACAGGAUUAGAAACCCUGGUAGUCC
rnacentral:rRNA from 1 species